rnacentral:rRNA from 1 species
GUCCUACGGGGGGCAGCAGUGGGGAAUAUUGCACAAUGGGGGGAACCCUGAUGCAGCGACGCCGCGUGGGUGAAGGAGUAUUUCGGUAUGUAAAGCCCUAUCAGCAGGGAAGAACAAUGACGGUACCUGACUAAGAAGCACCGGCUAAAUACGUGCCAGCAGCCGCGGUAAUACGUAGGGGGCAAGCGUUAUCCGGAAUUACUGGGUGUAAAGGGAGCGUAGACGGUGAUGCAAGUCUGGAGUGAAAGGCGGGGGCCCAACCCCCGGACUGCUCUGGAAACUGUAUGACUUGAGUGCAGGAGAGG